CCUACGGGAGGCAGCAGUGGGGGAUAUUGCACAAUGGGGGAAACCCUGAUGCAGCGACGCCGCGUGUGGGAAGAAGGUCCUCUGUAUUGUAAACCACUGUCCUCAGGGACGAAAAUCACGGUCCCUGGGCCGGAAGCUCCGGCUAACUACGGGACAGCCGCCGCGGUAAUACGUAGCGACCGCGGGUUGUCCGGAAAUACUGGGUUUAAAGGGAGUGUUGGCGGGGAUGAAGGUUGGGGGUAAAAACUACAGGCUAAAAUGGUAGUCGCAGUGGAAACUGGAGCUCUUGAGUGACAGAGAGGCAGGCGGAAUGCGCGGUGUAGCGGUGAAAUGCGUAGAUAUUAGGAGGAACACC
rnacentral:rRNA from 1 species